rnacentral:tRNA from 1 species
UAGUUAACCGCAAUAGUAUAGUGGUUCUACUCGUCCCUUUCUUUUCCUCCCACCCCCAAGAAAAAAAGGUA